GACGAACGCUGGCGGCGUGCUUAACACAUGCAAGUCGAACGAUGAAGCUGGAGCUUGCUCCGGUGGAUUAGUGGCGAACGGGUGAGUAACACGUGAGUAAUCUGCCCUUGACUCUGGGAUAACUGCGGGAAACUGUAGCUAAUACCGGAUACGACACCUUCGGGCAUCCGAUGGGUGUGGAAAGAAUUUCGGUCAGGGAUGAACUCGCGGCCUAUCAGCUAGUUGGUGAGGGAAUGGCUCACCAAGGCGACGACGGGUAGCCGGCCUGAGAGGGUGACCGGCCACACUGGGACUGAGACACGGCCCAGACUCCUACGGGAGGCAGCAGUGGGGAAUAUUGCACAAUGGGCGAAAGCCUGAUGCAGCAACGCCGCGUGAGGGAUGAAGGCCUUCGGGUUAUAAACCUCUUUUAGUUGGGAAGAAGCGAAAGUGACGGUACCAACAGAAAAAGCACCGGCUAACUACGUGCCAGCCGCCGCCGUAA
rnacentral:rRNA from 1 species